GACAGAGGGUGCAAACGUUGUUCGGAAUUACUGGGUGUAAAGCGCGUGUAGGCGGCCCUGCAAGUCGGAUGUGAAAUCCCACGGCUCAACCGUGGAAGUGCAUUCGAAACUGCAGGGCUAGAGUCCUGGAGAGGAAGGUGGAAUGCUUGGUGUAGAGGUGAAAUUCGUAGAUAUCAAGCGGAACACCGGUGGCGAAGGCGGCCUUCUGGACAGUGACUGACGCUGAGACGCGAAAGCGUGGGGAGCAAACAGG
rnacentral:rRNA from 1 species